rnacentral:rRNA from 1 species
UUCUGGUUGAUCCCUGCCAGUAGUCAUAUGCUUGUCUCAAAGAUUAAGCCAUGCAUGUGUCAGUACAGGCCGAUUUAAGGCGAAACCGCGAAUGGCUCAUUAAAUCAGUUAUGAUUCAUUGGAUCUCAAACCCCCUUACUCGGAUACCCCUGGUAAUUCUAGAGCUAAUACGUGCCCACUACAUCUCCGACCGCAAGGGAGGAGGGCUUUUAUUAGAUGCAGACCAACGGCGGGUUUCGGCCCGCCUCAUACUAAGUGCUGAUUCUGGAUAACUUUUUGCUGAGAGCACGGCCUCCGCGCCGGCUCCGAAUCUUUCGAGUUUCUGCCUUAUCAUGCUGUGGACUGUAGGCCAUGCGCCUACAGUGGCUGUUACGGGUAACGGGGAAUCAGGGUUCGAUUCCGGAGAGGGAGCCUGAGAAACGGCUACCACAUCCAAGGAAGGCAGCAGGCACGCAAAUUACCCAAUCCCAGCUCUGGGAGGUAGUGACGAAAAAUAACAAUGCGGGACUCAUCCGAGUCUUCGUAAUUGGAAUGAGCACACUCUAAAUCCUUUAGCAACAACCAAUUGGAGGGCAAGUCUGGUGCCAGCAGCCGCGGUAAUUCCAGCUCCAAUAGCGUAUACUAAAGUUGUUGCRGUUAAAAAGCCUCGUAGUUCGAGCUCAGUUCCGGACUGGCUGGGGAGGUUACCCGCACGGUGUUUCGCCCGGCCAGGCUCCGAACAGCCUCCCUUCAUGGGAGGCCACGCCGGUUUCCGCCGGGGUGCUCUUCGCCGAGUGUCCCGCGCGGCCGGCCAGUUCACCUUGAACAAAUCAGAGUGCUCAAAGCAGGCUACUCUUGAAUACUUAUGCCCGAAUGUUACUUGCAUGGAAUGAUGGAAGAUGAUCUCGGUUCCACUCUGUUGGCUCUGGGGAAUCCGAGUUAAUGAUAAACAGGGACGGCCGGGGGCAUUCGUACUACGACGCGAGAGGUGAAAUUCUGUGACCGUCGUAGGACGAACAACAGCGAAAGCAUUUGCCAAGAAUGUCUUCGUUGAUCAAGAACGAAAGUUAGAGGAUCGAAGGCGAUCAGAUACCGCCCUAGUUCUAACCCUAAACGAUGCCAACUAGCAAUCCGUCGUCGUUAUUCCCAUGACGCGGCGGGCCGCCACCGGGAAACCUCAAGUCUUUGGGUUCCGGGGGUAGUAUGGUUGCAAAACUGAAACUUAAAGGAAUUGACGGAAGGGCACCACCAGGAGUGGAGCCUGCGGCUUAAUUUGACUCAACACGGGGAACCUCACCAGGCCCGGACACCAGAAGGAUUGACAGAUUAAGAGCUCUUUCUCGAUUGGGUGGAUGGUGGUGCAUGGCCGUUCUUAGUUGGUGGAGUGAUUUGUCUGGUUAAUUCCGGUAACGAACGAGACUCUAGCCUACUAACUAGUCGGUGGCGGUCCGCAGCCCGGGCCCCACCGCACUGCGUCUUCUUAGAGGGAUGAGCAGCACAUAUAGCUGCCUGAGAUGGAGCAAUAACAGGUCUGUGAUGCCCUUAGAUGUCCUGGGCGGCACGCGCGCUACACUGAAUGGCUCAGCGGGUUACCCUUCUCCGAGAGGAGCGGGCAAUCGCGUCAAUGCCACCCGUGAUAGGGAUUGGGGCUUGCAACUCUUUCCCAUGAACGAGGAAUUCCCAGUAAGCGCAAGUCAUCAGCUUGCGCUGAUUAAGUCCCUGCCCUUUGUACACACCGCCCGUCGCUACUACCGAUUGAAUGAUUUAGUGAGGCCUUCGGACUGGCGGCCGCGGACCCGGGUCCCUCCGGUCUUCGGAUCGCGAGGGUCCGCCGCGGCCUGCCGGAAAGAUGCCCAAACUUGAUCAUUUAGAGGAAGUAAAAGUCGUAACAAGGUUUCCGUAGGUGACCUGCGG